GUUAAUGUUGAAUAAAAAGGUAUAACAUGCUACAUGAAUAUGAGAUCAGCAAUCGGGAGUAUUUUAUUGACAACAUAUAUGUUAAAUUUCGAUAAAGGUUUUUUUUAACAAAUCGCUAGCAUUCUUACGGGUUCCACUAAUAUAUCCUCCUGAGUCCAGGUUUAGAAAUCAAAGAUUCAACAAACCCGAUUCGCAUUCAGAAAAUAAGUAAAUUCAGUAAAUACCAGGAUUGAAAUUUGGUAUUUACGCCAAACGCGCAUUUCGCCUACAAAUGACUCAUACGUGACGCUCGGAUAAAAAAAAAACUGAAAAAAAUAGAAAAAGUAAGAAGUUGAAGAGUAUUGAGGACUUAAAAUUUCCAAGAGUUUGCCAGAUAUGAAUAUCAAAUAAACUUUGUAGUAUACCGCUAAUACAUAUCAUCCUACCCGGACACAUAAUGGUUACCCCGGACAAACCAAUAUUUGCUCUAACUCCUAAAUACUAUUUGUCUGGCAGAUAGGCAACAAAUCUUCAAUUUGAAACAGACGAGGAUCAAGCACACGACUUCCAGCACUCGAGCAGUGGUAUAGCUUUUAUUUACUCAAUGAAACAACCGCCUCAUCAAAUGUUAGACUAUUAAAAAAAGAAAGAAAAAGAUAAUUAUAUGCCAUGUUGAUCAUACAAUAAAUAAAAUUGAGAAUAGAAAUUUGAAAUAUGUAAACAAGAGAAACAACCAGACUAGAAAACAGAAAAAAGCCGAAGGCAACCAAUCGGUCUUUGAUACAGCG
rnacentral:lncRNA from 1 species